rnacentral:rRNA from 1 species
GAUGAACGCUGGCGGCGUGCUUAACACAUGCAAGUCGAACGAUGAAGCCCAGCUUGCUGGGUGGAUUAGUGGCGAACGGGUGAGUAACACGUGAGUAAACUGCCCUUGACUCUGGGAUAAGCCUGGGAAACUGGGUCUAAUACUGGAUAUGACUUCUCAUCGCAUGGUGGGGGGUGGAAAGAUUUAUUGGUCUUGGAUGGAGUCGCGGCCUAUCAGCUUGUUGGUGAGGUGAGGGCUCACCAAGGCGAUGCCGGGGAGCCGGCCCGAGAGGGGGACCGGCCACGUUGGGACUGAGGUACGGCCGAGACCACUACGGGGGGCAGCAGUGGGGAAGAUUGUACAAGGGGCGGAGGCCUGACGCAGCAACGCCGCGUGAGGGAGGACGGCCUUCGGGUUGUAAACCGCUGGCGCCGGUGACGAAGCGUGAGUGACGGUAAUGAGUAAAGAAGCACCGGCUAACUACGUG